rnacentral:lncRNA from 1 species
GCUGCUUGAGGGUCGAUUUCAAAAUGGGUUACAAGGGAUAAUGUCGGGUGUAGGGUAGGCUGAACAAAGAAGAAAAUUGGUUUAAAGUGUGGUGUUGGGAUGGGUAAAUAAUGGUAGGAAGGGAAACUUGAUGAUCGGGGUAAUAAGUGAUAAUGAUAAAAACUCGCAAGACUUUUCACUUUUUUUCUUUCUUCUUUUUUUUAACUCGAUUUUUUUGUCACUUCUUUUUUUUUUCCUUUUUUUCGAUUUUUUUUAAAUUUUUUUUCCCGAAUUUCUUCUCUCUUUUUUUUAAAUCCAAUACAAUAGUAAACUAAAUACAAGGAAGAAGAAAAAAAUUAAAUUCCAACUCAAAAUUUUUUUUGAUUUUUUUUGACUUUUUUUUACGUUACGAACCUACUCCGAGCUUGAUACGAAUGUCGGCACUCCUCGUUUUAGUAGCUCUGAUACCAAAUGAUGUGAUUCAGCUCGGGAUAAUCGAGUCGUUUCACUUAAU